AUAUCCAUGUACCCAGUGGUAAAUUUCUAUGAAUUUUUAAGAUGACACAUGAAAAGGCAAGUUAAAAUACCCAAUUUUUUAUCAUUUUGUUCCAUCUCUACCCCUGCUCUACCCCUGCACUCCCAUUCAUCAGUUGCGAAGCAUUCAAUGUCAUUAUCAUUUUGUGAAAUUCAACCGUCCCUCCUUCAAUCUCCACAUCCGUUCAUUUUGCGCAAUUCAACCGUCCCUCCUUCAAUUUCCACAUCCGUUUCCAGCUACCCCAAAUUAAGAAGAGGAUUAAUGAAAUCAGCCACAAAGUUCCUGCUCGAUUUCCCAACUAUCAGGUUUUGUUUGUAAUUCGAGAUAUGGUAAACAAUAGGGCAAAAUUCCCCACCCUACAUGCUUUAUUUGAUUGGAUCUACACACUUCAUCUAUUCGAUUUAUUUCGAGCAUAUUAUGAUAAAUAGACCGUAUUCUUGUAUUCUUGUGUCUUUGUAGUUGAAAUAGUUUAUCUAUUGGUUGUUGUAGCUGAUAUUUUGUGUCAAUUUUGCAAUAGUUGGUUUAAAGGAUCCUUGUCGGCCAGGUGUGAAAGAUGUUGUCCAACUCUGUGUGAAGGCUGGUGUUAAGGUAAUUUACAUAGUUCUAUUUUCAGAUGUGUUGUUCGUUGUUACAUUAUUGUAUCUAUUAGGCUGGGUGUUAUACCCCAGGGAUUAUCCUUGAUCCCGCUGGGUUUCAAGCUCUCUGUCGCCUCCAUCCCCGGCUCCCCGUGUCACCGUGUGUCUCUAUCUCUUCUUUCUCUUUCUCUCUCUAUUUAUUUUUUUUUUCAAAAUAAAAAAAAGGGUAGAUGGUGAGGGAUGGGUAUAACAUAAGGUGAGGGAAUAUGAACUCUUGUAAAUGGGUAAAAAGGAGAGGCAAUAUGAACUCUAAUGAAAAUGUUAAAGAGUUAAAUUGACAUGUAUUUAUGUUGAAAGGAUAAACCACUGCGCAUUUAUCGAACAAAGAAGACGACUAUAGGAUCAAAUUCACUUUCAUUCAUAGAAAUCUUAAACCAUAACGACAAAUGUGGAUGACAUCAUAGUGGAAGAGAUCAUCAAGAAAUCAAGAUUAAUAAAAUAACAAGGUUGAGCAACUGCAUAGAAUUUAAGCUUUGUGGUUCAUCGUAACUGAUAGUUACUGGAUAAAGUCAAAAUUACUUCACUCAACAGCGUACAAACCCGUCCAGCCUUAUAAAGACGCAUUUUAGAAAUCUUUAAAGGUUUUCCUUGAGCUGCUAUUUGGCUAAUGCAAAUUUUACUUGCAAUAGAUCCUGAAGAAAGAGGAACCGCAACACUUGUUUUGAAGAGUGAGUUUUUACAACAAAGCCACUUGCUUGUGAUCCUUCAAGUUUGCUAGAAUAUCCUCCCAACAAAGAAAUUGUUGCGAAAAGGAGAGAAGAAGAAGCCGAAAGUUAUGUGCAUUUAUCUGACAUUUAAAAAAAAUUAAGCAUGUACUUGGACGUAACUAUUUGAUUACUUAACUUCAGAUUUGGUUAAGUCACUUGAAUGAUAUUGUAGACAAAGGACAACAAGAAUGAAUGGUCAAAAGCUUUAUAAGGAAAGUGGGGAAGCACAAGAAACCGGUGCCAGCUCAGGAUGCCAAUGCUGAGUUUGCAAGAUCAACUUAGGAUGCCAACGACGGCGAAGAUGAUGAUGACAUGAUGACAUUGAUGACAACAACAAAGCCGAUGGUUAUGAAUCAUGAUGGUCACCUUUUUGACGCUCAACAAUACCAAUAUCUAUAAUCUAUAAUCUAUAAUAGUAUAUAAAGCAUUUCAAAUGUCUAAAAUUGUAAUUUCCCCCACUAUUUUUAAGACGCCAUAUCAAAAUCAUGUCUAAUUUCCCCAAUUUUCAUCUCUAUAAUCUAUAAUCUAUAAUAGUAUAUAAAGCAUUUCAAAUGUCUAAAAUUGUAAUUUCCCCCACUAUUUUUAAGACGCCAUAUCAAAAUCAUGUCUAAUUUCCCCAAUUUUCAUCUCUGCUCCCAUAUUUGCCCCCCAUUCAAUGAGGUUUUAGUGAUUCUUCAUGAUUCUUCAGUGUUUCCUUCCAUUUCAUGGAGCAAUUCAGCCAUUCUCUAUCAAAUGCGAUCAUCAAUUUAUGCAAUCCAAUCGUUUUUGCUUCAAUGGCGCGUCCGUUUUUAGCAAUCCCCUGUAUUAACAAGUCAUCAUUGAUAUCAGGCACAAAUCAUUGAUUCAAAUCACGCUCGCAGAUCAGAAAAUCAAGCCAAGACGAAAUUAAAGGCAACAUCCAGAACCGAAAAGAAUGGAGGAAUGCUUGGCUGAUCACGUCGUUAUUGCCCAUGGGUUAAGUGGAAGACCAAUCAGAGAUUUAUUGAUGAUGGAAUGAAGAAAAAGUUGAACAAGAAGCUGAAAAGGGGUACCUAAAUGUUGUUCGUACAAAAGAACUACAGAAAUCGCGGACCCUUCGUCUCUCUCUCUCUCUCUCUCUCUUGGUGAUGCAGAUUUGAAUCUGUUAUCAAAUUGAAGUUUAAUUCGAUAAUGUAUGCACAUAUGUACAAACAGGUUCUUGCGCAGACAAGUGAAGUAAGAAAAUAAAGUUCAAGCACAAUCAAAUGAAGCGCCAAAUCUAAAAAAAGCCCCCGGUUUUUAAGCGCCUAGACUCCAGGCUCGGUCUACGCGCCUUGUGUGCGCCUAGGCGCUUUGACAACAGAGGUAGUACCAUGAUGCAACUUGCACCAUUUGCUCAAACUAAAAAGGACAUUAUUCAAGAUGUCAAUUAUCGUAUUGGUGAAGAUGAAGAAGCAAAAGGAAUUGUCUUGCAACAACAAAAACUUCCAUGGGAAGGAACAAAUAUUAGGAGCCAAAGCAAAGUUAAAUUCAUAGUUUAUUGUUGUUAUAUGAAUUGUUGCUAAAUUUUGUAAUUAAGCUUCUGAGUCGAGUCUUCUAAAUUCUUCGUGAUAACAACCCUGAGGUUGCUGGAGACAGAAGGGAACGGUCAUGAGGCCACCACAACUUAUUCGUGAACGAACAAAGAAAACUGUCUUUAGAAAUCAUUUGUUCCCCAUCACUUCCUGCCUACCAAACCGUACCCUCUUCAAUCUACCCUAGAUUUCGGUUCGUUGUUUUCGAUUUACUCUAUUGUCACGGAUCUCGCCUCAUAGUCACAACUACACUUGAUCAGAACGCCACAAUUAGGCCGCUUGCCGGUGAAGUCAGUGCUGAAACUGAGUUUCGUGUACCAUUUCUAUUGGUUUUUUGUGUGUGUGUAUUUUAAUUUCAUGCAACUAACAAGCUUAAGUAUUUUUUUCUUGAUCUUUAGUACAAUUGGAUGAAACCCACUGAUUGGUGUUGUUGUCAUUGCAUCAUUUCAGGUCAUACUGUUGGUUUCAUCUUGACGUUUUGGUAUUUUUAUUAUGUAGUUUUAUUAAUAAUUAUGGACUUUCUUUGUA